rnacentral:rRNA from 1 species
GAUGAACGCUGGCGGCGUGCCUAAUACAUGCAAGUCGAGCGAACAGACGAGGAGCUUGCUCCUCUGACGCUAGCGGCGGACGGGUGAGUAACACGUGGAUAACCUACCUAUAAGACUGGGAUAACUUCGGGAAACCGGAGCUAAUACCGGAUAAUAUAUUGAACCGCAUUGUUCAAUAGUGAAAGACGGUUUUGCUGUCACUUAUAGAUGGAUCCGCGCCGCAUUAGCUAGUUGGUAAGGUAACGGCUUACCAAGGCAACGAUGCGUAGCCGACCUGAGAGGGUGAUCGGCCACACUGGAACUGAGACACGGUCCAGACUCCUACGGGAGGCAGCAGUAGGGAAUCUUCCGCAAUGGGCGAAAGCCUGACGGAGCAACGCCGCGUGAGUGAUGAAGGUCUUCGGAUCGUAAAACUCUGUUAUUAGGGAAGAACAAAUGUGUAAGUAACUAUGCACGUCUUGACGGUACCUAAUCAGAAAGCCACGGCUAACUACGUG